rnacentral:rRNA from 1 species
CAGCAGCCGCGGUAAUACGUAGGGGGCGAGCGUAAUCCGGAUUCAUUGGGCGUAAAGCGCGCGUAGGCGGCCCGGCAGGCCGGGGGUCGAAGCGGGGGGCUCAACCCCCCGAAGCCCCCGGAACCUCCGCGGCUUGGGUCCGGUAGGGGAGGGUGGAACACCCGGUGUAGCGGUGGAAUGCGCAGAUAUCGGGUGGAACACCGGUGGCGAAGGCGGCCCUCUGGGCCGAGACCGACGCUGAGGCGCGAAAGCUGGGGGAGCGAACAGGAUUAGAUACCCUGGUAGUCCCAGCCGUAAACGAUGGACGCUAGGUGUGGGGGGACGAUCCCCCCGUGCCGCAGCCAACGCAUUAAGCGUCCCGCCUGGGGAGUACGGCCGCAAGGCUAAAACUCAAAGGAAUUGACGGGGGCCCGCACAAGCAGCGGAGCAUGUGGCUUAAUUCGAAGCAACGCGAAGAACCUUACCAGGGCUUGACAUAUGGGUGAAGCGGGGGAGACCCCGUGGCCGAGAGGAGCCCAUACAGGUGGUGCAUGGCUGUCGUCAGCUCGUGUCGUGAGAUGUUGGGUUAAGUCCCGCAACGAGCGCAACCCCCGCCGCGUGUUGCCAUCGGGUGAUGCCGGGAACCCACGCGGGACCGCCGCCGUCAAGGCGGAGGAGGGCGGGGACGACGUCAAGUCAUCAUGCCCCUUAUGCCCUGGGCUGCACACGUGCUACAAUGGCCGGUACAGAGGGAUGCCACCCCGCGAGGGGGAGCGGAUCCCGGAAAGCCGGCCCCAGUUCGGAUUGGGGGCUGCAACCCGCCCCCAUGAAGUCGGAGUUGCUAGUAAUCGCGGAUCAGCAUGCCGCGGUGAAUGCGUUCCCGGGCCUUGCACUCAACGCCCGUCA